AGUGAACGCUGGCGGUAGGCCUAACACAUGCAAGUCGAACGGCAGCACAGUAAGAGCUUGCUCUUACGGGUGGCGAGUGGCGGACGGGUGAGGUAUACAUCGGAAUCUACUUUUUCGUGGGGGCUAACGUAGGGAAACUUACGCUAAUACCGCAUACGACCUACCGGUGAAAGCAGGGGAUCUUCGGAUCUUGCGCGAUUGAAUGAGCCGAUGUCGGACUAGCUAGUUGGCGGGGUAAAGGCCCACCAAGGCGACGAUCCGUAGCUGGACUGAGAGGAUGAUAAGCCACACUGGAACUGAGACACGGUCCAGACGCCUACGGGAGGCACCAGUGGGGAAUAUUGGACAAUGGGCGCAAGCCUGACCCAGCCAUACCGCGUGGGUGAAGAAGGCCUUCGGGGUGUAAAGCCCUUUUGUUGGGAAAGAAAAGCAGCAGGUUAAUACCCCGCUGUUCUGACGGUACCCAAAGAAUAAGCACCGGCUAACUUCGUG
rnacentral:rRNA from 1 species